UUCAUAACUUACACAUGCAAGUCUCCGCACACCCGUGAAAACGCCCUUUUAACCCCCGAGGAUUAAGGAGCCGAUAUCAGGCGUCAUAAAAAUACCCAAAACAUCUAGCCAUGCCACACCCCUAAGGGUACACAGCAGUGAUUAAUAUUAAAAAUUAACGUCAGUUUGAUUUAGCUAAUGAAAAUAGAGCCGGCCAACCUGGUGCCAGCCGCCGCGGUUAAACCACGCGGCUCAAAUUGAUAUCUACCGGCGUAAAGCGUGAUUAAAGACACCCUAUCACUGAGGUUAAACCCAAAUUAAGCUGUAAAAUACUUAUUUUCAGGAAACCCUAACCCGAAAGAUACCUCACCCACCCCUUGAAUUCACGACAACUAGGACAUAAACUGGGAUUAGAUACCCCACUAUACCUAGUCAUAAACUUUAACUUACACCCGCAUCGCCUGGGAACUACGAGCUAAGCUUAAAACCCAAAGGACUUGACGGUACCCCGCAUCCCUCUAGAGGAGCCUGUCCUAUAAUCGAUAACCCCCGUUUAACCUCACCACUUUUAGUCCAUCAGCCUGUAUACUUCCGUCGUCAGCUUACCACAUGAGUGGGAUAAGUAAGCUUAAUGUCCCCUUUUAUCAAUACGUCAGGUCAAAGUGCAGCAAAUAAAGUGGGAAGAGAUGGGCUACACUUUCUACAUUAGAAAAUACGAAAGAUCUUAUGAAAUAAUAUCAGAAGGCGGAUUUAGCAGUAAAGCGGGAAUAGAGUACCCCCUUUAAUUCGGCACCGGGGUGUGUACACACCGCCCGUCACCCUCUUCAAUAGACUUAAACUAGUAUAUAACAACUUAUCUUCGCUAGAAGAGGCAAGUCGUAACAUGGUAAGUAUACCGGAAGGUGUACUUGGAAA
rnacentral:ncRNA from 1 species